CCUUUCUAAGGAAGCUGUGGAAUUGGUAAGACGACCGUCUCGAACGGUAUGAACCUUCCCGUGCUUUUUAGAACAAGAUCGCACCAGUCAGGUGACGAUCGCAACACAUACGCCGUUGAGAUGAUUGCCUAGGCGAUCACCGCGGUAAGGCGAAUACCGCCGUCUACGUUUCUCUUUCUCGAUUAGGAUAUGUCCUCACGCUGUCGCGGCUUUGCCGUGCGCUCCGGACGGGGGCGCCGGACGACCGGCGUGGGCCUUUUGGCCCUGUUUUGGUGGGUCUGAUCGGAGUUCGAUUUGGCCGUUGCCUGUUGGGGUUCGGUUAGCGUGUGAACACGUAAAUCGGGCCCGUAGCUCAGUCGGUUAGAGCACACGCUUGAUAAGCGUGGGGUCGGUAGUUCGAGUCUACCCGGGCCCACCAUGUUUUGUCCCGAUGCUGUCGCGGUCUUUGGCUGGGCGCUCGGAGUCGAAGAAUUGGGGCUGUAGCUCAGCUGGGAGAGCACCUGCUUUGCAAGCAGGGGGUCAGCGGUUCGAUCCCGCUCAGCUCCACCAUCGUUUGGUGUGGACAAAACGUCAUCCCCUUAUGGAGAAAUAAAGAUUCGCAAUCCGGUUCGUUGCGACCUGAUGCCUUGUCUGAUUACAUUGUGAAGAGAGAAGAUAUGUCUGGAAGCUCCAGGUGUUGAGGUGAUCGAAAGAUUGCUUGAAACGUCCGGACCCAGUCCUGUAAACGCUGUCCGACGGUCUAGCCGAUCCGAGACAGACGAGGACUGGAAGUAAGUAAGAAGCUUGUACUCAAGCAUGUUUGUUGUUGGUGGUUUGGACCAUCGGAACUUCGAGCUUUUAAGGCUUCGGGAUAUUGGUGUUUCCGGUCAUCUCUGACGGCAUGUUGAUGGAUGUUGCCUGACCGCGCAUCCCCGGACAGAUCUCGAGAAGCUGGUCUUAAUGAUCCGGCCCCGAAGUGCACCGGCGUGCCUUCAAAUGGGGAACGGAUCGAACACGUCGAUGGCAUCUGGAUUUGGAUUUGGUUGUAAAAGGUAACCUGAUUCCGCCCAUCCUUCGGGAUGGUGGCUUAAGGAUGAGCAUUGGCAAUGAGAACGAUCAAGUGAAAUAAGGCAAUUGGU
rnacentral:tRNA from 1 species